AUAAGUUUUGGUUGGAAAGAAAACCCGCGAUUUUCCCCAUCGGCUGCAUGUCUCCAAUUUAACACUCUUCUUCUUCUUCUUCUUCUUCUUCUUCCAAAAUGGAUUCUUCUCUUCUGUUCCCUUUAAAGCCGAAAUGCAAGGCUUACCCAUUUCUCCAAUUACCUUCUCCUUUCCAUUACAACUCUUCUUUUGAACUUCCUUUCAAUUUCAAAGUCUCAAAAGUUACCGCUUCUAAACAAAAAUCUCACAAAAUUCGCUGUCAAUUUGAACCCAAACUCAAUAAUGGUUCCGUCUCUCCGGACUUCGACGCCCGCUUUCUCGACCGGCAAAAAGCACUGGAAGCAGCAAUGAAUGACAUAAAUAAUUCAUUUGGAAAUGGAAGUGUUACCAGAUUGGGCAGUGCUGGCGGCGCGCUAGUUGAGACUUUCCCUAGUGGAUGUUUGACUCUAGAUUUUGCUUUAGGUGGUGGCCUUCCAAGAGGAAGAAUUGUCGAGAUAUAUGGACCAGAAAGCAGUGGGAAGACCACUUUGGCCCUCCAUGCCAUUGCAGAAAUUCAGAAGCUUGGUGGGAACGCAAUGCUUGUUGAUGCAGAGCAUGCUUUCGAUCCAGCAUAUUCAAAAGCAUUGGGGGUAGAUGUAGAAAACUUGAUCGUCUGCCAACCUGAUAAUGGCGAGAUGGCACUUGAAAUUGCAGAUCGUAUGUGCAGAUCUGGUGCUGUAGAUCUGAUAUGUGUUGAUUCUGUAUCUGCUCUCACUCCACGAGCCGAGAUUGAGGGAGAGAUAGGGAUGCAGCAAAUGGGUUUGCAAGCACGCCUUAUGAGCCAAGCACUUCGUAAAAUGUCAGGAAAUGCUUCAAAGGCUGGUUGUACUCUCAUUUUCCUUAAUCAAAUAAGAUACAAGAUUGGUGUAUAUUAUGGCAAUCCAGAAGUAACAAGUGGAGGAAUUGCUUUGAAAUUCUUUGCCUCAGUUCGUCUAGAAAUACGGUCUACGGGGAAGAUAAAGUCUGUUAAAGGAGAUGAAGAUAUAGGGGUUCGAGUUCGUGUGAGAGUGCAGAAGAGUAAGGUAUCACGGCCGUACAAGCAAGCUGAGUUCGAAAUUAUAUUUGGAGAGGGAGUGGGCCAACUGGGUUGCGUUUUGGAUUGCGCUGAAAUGAUGGAUGUUGUGAUAAAGAAGGGUUCUUGGUAUAGUUAUGGAGACCACAGAUUGGGACAAGGAAGAGACAAAGCAUUACAGUACUUGAGAGACAAUCCUCACCUUUAUGAAGAAAUAGAGAAGAAAGUUCGGUCCAUGAUGGCAGACGGAACUGUAAAUGCAUCCUCUGUUGCCUUGAGCAACUCAUCAUUACCUAUACAAGAUGAAAAUGUUUACGACGAGAUCUGAUUCAUAGUUGAGAGUUCUGUUGUUGUUCAAGUCAUAAGUAGAUACCAGCAGUUUACGAUAUCCUCCUCGGCAGUCUUGUAGAGACUUGGCUGUUAUUUUGAUUGACUUAAAUAUUAAUUUGUCCUCUAAACUUCCACGUAUUGGUCAAUUAGAACAAAGAUUACUUUGUUAUCAAAUUCGCCAGAAACUAGUUAAUUAUUAUCAAUUUACAAUCCUAAACCACGCUUGUUCUGCGCAUGAAUUAGAUUUCUUACCAAAUUGAUAAUAAUAGAUAAGUUUCUGGCCAAAUUUUAUCAACAAAAAUAUUGUUCUAAUUUACCAGAACUUGCAAGUUGAGUGGAAAAUUGAUAUAUAAGUCUAUUUUGAUUGUACACAAUGAGGUAUCACUGAUAGGAAUGGCAUGUAUUUUAAAGGGGUGAAAGUAGAAGGGAAAAAUGUUUUUGCGUCGGGAGAAUUCUUGUUUUGGCGCUUUGUUUUCGGCAGAAGUAGAAAGUGAAACUGAGAAGGUUGAUCAGUUGAUUCUCAGCCAAAGAUUAGAGAUUCGUAGAUUGUAAUGUUAUGAUUUAAUAUAAAGUGUUUACGGAAAUUUAAAGUA